rnacentral:lncRNA from 1 species
CACUAUGAAAACUAUAAGUAUUGACAAGGCAUUCGUUACUAAGAUGAGCAUCAAACUCCUGCCAAGAAUUUAUUUAACGCAAUUGUUUAUAAGCGACAUCCACUACUUGUGAAUAUAAGUUUGUAACUAUUAGGUGAAACUCCCUUAUACUCUAGCAUCAUAUUCAUGCAUGCAAACUAAGUGUGCACUCUUAAUAAACAUACACGAAUAAGUUAUCAAUCAAGCAAUUAAACAAAUUGAAUUCACAACUUAUGAAAUCACAACUGAAGGUAAUCAAAUCAUAUUGCAAGCAUGUACAUGGUUUCGAAUUCCCCCCUAGCUAAGGGGGGUUUAGUUCCUCAUACUCACAAAGCAAAGAUAAACAAAUUUAGACAUUGAAAACAAAAGAAUGAAAACACUUAAAAACGCUCCAACAAUCCAACUUGAAUGGCAAGCACGUCCAAGGGUCCUCCUUCUUCUCUUUGU